rnacentral:rRNA from 1 species
GACGAACGCUGGCGGCGUGCUUAACACAUGCGAGUCGAACGGAAAGGCCCUGCUUUUGUGGGGUGCUCGAGUGGCGAACGGGUGAGUAACACGUGAGUAACCUGCCCUUGACUUUGGGAUAACUUCAGGAAACUGGGGCUAAUACCGGAUAGGAGCUCCUGCUGCAUGGUGGGGGUUGGAAAGUUUCGGCGGUUGGGGAUGGACUCGCGGCUUAUCAGCUUGUUGGUGGGGUAGUGGCUUACCAAGGCUUUGACGGGUAGCCGGCCUGGGAGGGUGACCGGCCACAUUGGGACUGAGAUACGGCCCGGACUCCUACGGGAGGCAGCAGUGGGGAAUAUUGCACAAUGGGCGGAAGCCUGAUGCAGCAACGCCGCGUGCGGGAUGACGGCCUUCGGGUUGUAAACCGCUUUCGCCUGUGACGAAGCGUGAGUGACGGUAAUGGGUAAAGAAGCACCGGCUAACUACGUG